rnacentral:rRNA from 1 species
AAUCAACGCUGGCGGCGUGCUUAAUACAUGCAAGUCAACUGAGUUUAAGAUAGCAAUAUUUUAAGCCCGGUGGCGCACGGGUGAGUAACACGUAGGUAAUCUGCCUUUAGGUCUGAGAUAAUCCCGCGAAAGCGGGACUAAAAUCAGAUGAUGCAGCGGCUCGACAUCGAGACAGUUGUUAAACCUUCGGGCCUGAAGAUGAGCCUGCGUCUGAUAGGUAGUUGGUGGGGUAAAAGCCACCAAGCCUGCGAUCAGUAGCUGGUCUGAGAGGAUGAUCAGCCACACUGGAACUGAGACACGGUCCAGACUCCUACGGGAGGCAGCAGUGGGGAAUCUUGCGCAAUGGGCGAAAGCCUGACGCAGCGACGCCGCGUGAGGGAUGACGGCC